UUACUGGUCAAAUCGAAGGGGCUUAAGACUCUCCUCUGGUUACAUUUAAAAGGAAUCGAACGACCGUCACCGAGUCGUUGCUUUGCUUCGCUGUCCACAAGUACAUGUCAUUAAACAACGUACUUGAGGACCAAUUGGAUUUGUCCGUGACGUAGAAAGAAGGUGACAGCCUCAGUGGUAAUAGCACUUCCCUUCCGUUUAGAAAAUUUGGAUAAGGCUAGUUAGCCAGCCGGACUCGCACUAUUGCCAGCUGGCACGAGUACACCAAUGAGUCCGUUACGCGCGAGGAGAAGCGCGUGGAGGAUCGGACACGUGAUAUGGAGAAAGAACGUGAGGACGCGUGAUGCCGUGUGCGAUGCGAUGUGUGGACCACUUUUGGGGCUAAAAUAGCUAAGUGACUUACCAAACGUGUCUAGGACCUCGUUUUGGACCGUUUGACACGUGUCGAAACAGGGGACG